rnacentral:rRNA from 1 species
UACACACCGCCCGUCACACCAUGGGAGUUGGCUUUACCUGAAGGCGGUGCGCUAACCCGCAAGGGAGGCAGCCGACCACGGUAGGUCGAGCGACUGGGGUG